rnacentral:rRNA from 1 species
CUGCUGCCUCCCGUAGGAGUCUGGACCGUGUCUCAGUUCCAGUGUGGCUGGUCAUCCUCUCAGACCAGCUAGGGAUCGUCGCCUAGGUGAGCCGUUACCCCACCUACUAGCUAAUCCCAUCUGGGCACAUCCGAUGGCAAGAGGCCCGAAGGUCCCCCUCUUUGGUCUUGCGACGUUAUGCGGUAUUAGCUACCGUUUCCAGUAGUUAUCCCCCUCCAUCAGGCAGUUUCCCAGACAUUACUCACCCGUCCG